rnacentral:lncRNA from 1 species
CAAGGAGAAGGGGAUGACAGAGGACGAGAUGGUUGGACAGUGUUCUCAAAGCUACCAGCGUGAGUUUGACCAAACUGUGGGAGGCACUGGAAGACAGGAGUGCCUGGUGUGCUCUGGUCCAUGGGGUCACGAAGAGUCAGACACGACUAAAUGACUAAACAACAACAACAAAGUUGGAUUUGGCCAGAAGUCUGGUAAGAACAUUACAAGAGCUCUGAUGAAUCAGACCAAAGAUCCAUUGAGUACCCUGUUCUUUGUCAAGCAAAGUUCGUGGGAAGCCCUCCUGAGAGCAGCAGCACUCUUCCUAAUUGUGAUUCUCAGCAAGUGGGAUUCUGAAAGUCGAGGCAAAUACUUAAGAAGAUUAGAAGAGCUUGCUGGAUCAAGACAAUUGCCCAUCUAGUCUAGCUUCUUCUUCUCACAGUGGCCAGCCAGAUGCUUAUGGGAAGCUAGAAAGCAGCACCUGAGUACAACAGCACGUUUUCCCUGAUUGCAACUGGCAUUCAAAGGCACUCUGUCUCCAAUAGUGGAGGUAGAACAUAGAUAGCCAUUGUGGCUAGCAGCCACUGAUAGCAUAAUCCUUCAUGCAAUCCCUUUUAUGCCACAAUGGCAGACAUGGGAUCCAGUGCUCACAAGCACAAGCUAGGUAUUGGAUUUCAGUUGUUUGUUGGCUAACAGAGAAGUGGGACUAGUACUCUUUGUUCACUGUUGUUUCAGGUGUGUGCUAUGUAAACAAGUUAAACCUGUUUCUAUUUCGGUUUUUAAAGUCCUUAAUCUUAACAUUGUUAGAGGAGUUUGGAAAAAGAGCACACUAAAUAUCAAGAGUAUUUCUUCUUCUUCUUCUUUGGGGAUUGCUCAUAGCUGAGUAAGAUUGCCUUCCAUAAACACGGUUUUAACAGUGAGUUCGUAAGUGACUGGGGAGGCCAAUUCUGGAUCCACACGUCCUUCCACAGUGGAGGCAUAGGUUUCCGGGUGGAAGUGAGGGUUUGCCAAGCUUGCCUUCCUCUUAGCAUGUUUCUCCCUUUCAUCCUGAGUUCAAGUGUCUUCAAAGCCCAUGACACCUUUGGUAAAGGCUGUUCUCCAAUUGGAGCGCUCACAGGCCAGUGUUUCCCAAUUGUCGGUGUUUAUACUACAUUUUUUCAAGAUUUGCCUUGAGAGAGUCUUUUGUUGACCACCAGCAUUACACAUUCCAUUUUCAAGUUUGAAGUAGAGAAGUUGCUUUGGAAGACAAUAAUCAGACAUCCUCACAACAUGACCAGUCCAACGAAGUUGAUGUUGAAGAAUCAUUGCUUCGACACCGGUGAUCAUUGCAUCAAGAGUAUUACUGACUACAAGAGACAACUAAUCUUGAACAGCAUGGAAUUAUUUUACUGUACAUGUUGACUCCUUAUACCAAGGUUGGGGAGCCUGUGGCCCUCCUUAUGAUGCUGGGCAAUCUGACUCAGGCUGCUAGAAGUUGGAGUACAACAAUAUCAAAUAAAUAAAUAAUAGAAUAAAUAAUACAUAUCUGGUGAUGUUCAAGUUAUUACAUACCCAGAUGUGCGUAUUUGCCUGUGUACACAUGCAUGCAUGCACACACACAAAACUUUAGCUAAAAGUUGAGGGGCAUUAUAUGGAGAGCCAUGUAUUUGGAUAGGGCAGAAGCAGCUAGGAGUUUCCCCACUUUGGGGGGGGGGGGCUGAUUCAGCCUCCCAAGUGAAUUUUUCCAAACCCCACUGAUUUUGGCAGCAGUCAUGAUAAAAAUAAAACACUAAUGUGGACAUAGUGCUAAUGUGGAAUGAGUGGAGCCAGUGCUCUGCUGGGAAUGCAUAUUGCUCCUGCUCAGGUUAUGAGAUCUAGUGUUUAAUGCAUGAAGAGGGAGAGACAAACCAACUUAGCUGAUCUACAUGAACCUGCUGAGGACACAAGGUUGUAUGCUUGUGUGUGUGCAUGAGAGAGAGAGGGGGGGGGAGAGAGAGAGAUGGCCACAUCCACUGCUCGCAUGCAGUGUGGAUUUACACCUACAGUUUGGCAUAAACAUCAGGUGUUGGAGAACAAUUUACAAAUAACCAAUGACAAAGAAGGUUUUCAUUUUUUCAAAAUCCAUAUAAAGUAACACUAGCCAGUUCCUUUCUGACUCAUGGUUUUGGAUCACGCAUUAUUGUCAUUGGUUAUUUUUUCUAAAUUGCUUCCCAAUAUCUGAUAUUUUAUGCUAAAGCCAAGUGUCAUAUCUCUCCAGCCUUGUAUAACCAACAUGCUUAACUCUAAUUACUGCACGAACAAGUUACAACUAUAGAUUAAGUUGUUCUGUCACCCUCCCUCAUCUUGGGAGGAAGAGUUCCCAAACUCUUUGUUUUCUCUCUUCCACCAUGUGAACCUUACCAGUAAGGAGGUCCAAGCUGGAUGCUUCAAACUUAGACCAUGUGGCUUAAGCAAGCCAUCUUUGGGUUUCUAUAAUUUUAAAACAUUUUACCAUUUUGUAACCUAAGUUAUACUGCCAGUCUUUUCUUGCUGCUGUAUGGAAAAGCACAUGAAUCUGACUUUAGAAGAGUUUGUAAGUAACUCAUUUUUAAUUUACUUGUCUCUUUCUAUGCCAGGGAAGGUGGGGAACUUUGGAAGCAACUAUGAAGGGUAUCUUUUAAAAGUCUAGCCACCUAUAUUUCCAUGCUUUUCUUUGCUGCAUAUUUUGUGAUUUUAAAUCUCUGCUGUGGCUCUCUCACCAAAGAGUACUUGCCCCAAACCUGGAUCUAGGCAUCCAGGAAAUUUUCCUUUUAUUAUACCUUACUAGCUGCAUUUUGUUCUUUAACCAAAUACCUCAAUUGUAUCUACAUUUGCAAACAGGUCUUUCUAACUGAGUCCAAAGAUUCUUUAUGGAACAUUUCCAUUGUGAUAAAUAUGUGAAUUUGGUGAUUAUACCUGGCUUGAUCUCCAUAAAUGGAAGAUGGGCAGACAAUACAGACACAGUUGUUUAUCUCUUCUCCAGGGAUGGCUUGUUCUCUGAUACCCUCUUCUGGCUAUCCAGAAAUGUGACCUUGCUGCCUGCAGGGAGAAUGUUGUCUCUUUUGGCAAUUGGGUUGAACAGAAGGCUUGCACCACAAUACAUGUGUUGUCUCUAAGACUGUCUGCACAUUACCAUUUACUUUUGCUCCUGUGCACUCCCACUACUGGUGUUUGAAGCUGUGUACACAUUAGCCGCAGUCCUGUAGUUUCUUGAGAGAAACUGCUGUUAGAUAGGCUUUCCAUCAAACUAGCUUCCAUCCAAUUUGAAAUUGUAAGCUACAUUAAAUUCUCAGUUAAGCUGAGGUGUGUACAUCUGGGAUAGCCACUGUGCAUGCACAAAUGACAGCUUCAUGUAUAAGAAUAUCAGGAUCGUUGUGUUGCAGACACAGGAACACCUAAGAGGUACAGGCACCUAAGAGGUACAUGCAUCGCAUGAACACAUCCCUGCCCCUCUCUGUUGUGUACAGCAAGACACAAAUAUGACUUGAAAUGCAACAGGGGUGGGGAAUGACCUCGCUGUGUUUUAAGACAGUAAUGUGUAGAUGGCCUGAGACGCCACAAGACUCUCUUUCUAGAAGAUCGGUCACAAAAGUUGCAUUGUGUCUAUAUUAUGUAUGGUCCCCGAAGAGAAGAAAGUCAGAAAUGGAAAGGGACCAUUUCACCAGGCAGGAAAAACAAUUCUGUGGGCCUUUCUCUGUCUUGGAACCAUCAGGCAAUGGGAAAACUAUGUAGCGCAUGAGCAAAUUCCACUCCUUGACAUGAAUAAUUUAGGCUUGCACAGGAAGGAAAGAAAUGUUUAGGCCCUUGCAAUGUAGGUCAAAGCUGACACAAGUAGACUGCCGACUUCAGAAGGGAUGUCAAUUUGCAAUUUUGCAGUGCAAUGCGUUCGUUAUUAUUAUUAUACAUAUGAGACUUUUAUCCCUCUCUCUUCCUCCUUUGUCUUCUUCUUCCCAAAGAGGUUCUCAAGGCAGGUGAACACAGAUUUGCACAAUCAAAAUCGCACUCACGUCUAGUCACAGGAACGUGAUAGCGACAUGUUGCCUGGAUUAACCAGGAAGGAUUUCUUGCCCUCAAUCUAGGAUGCCCUUUGUGUCCGUCUCCUGCUAGGCAGCAAUCCCGCUGAGGACCUCUGAGGACACAGUGGGACUGUGCACCCAGAAAUUGCUCAGUCCCAUGAUGUCAGCCCCCACCUUGCUGUCAUCUGGCAGUUUGGGUGAAUGAUGUAAUAACAACAACAGUAAAGUUUUUAUCUAGCUCUUUUCAGCCACUCUCUCCUCAAGAAGAGCAGGGCCACACCUCACCAGCCUUCUGAUAGACCUGUUCCCCCACCCCCCAACCCUUACACACUGGAGGUGGGGGUCUGAAGAGGCAGCUGGUCUUCGGGAUUUGAAACCAUGCAUUUAGAUCCCCAAUUGUACUCUACUUGGGUAUAGUAGGCUCAUCUCUGUAGACCUUUUCUCCAGAGCAUCAUUAGUGGGGGGCAUUUCACCUGGAAAUGCAGUGGAGCUGAAGGCCUAGCAAGCCUUUUCUCUGUUGCUACAGAUGGCUGUCACUGCCUAAGGGAAUGCCUGCAAAUAACAUCUACCUGUCUAUGGAUGAACGGCAUUUGGUUGCACAUAGUUAGCACACUGAGCCAUCAUUCCAGAUUGACCAAAAAAGAAAGCCCAGGGCAUGGCUCAAUCCAGAUAAGAGCAGACGUGAUUGAUUUGUUGAUUGAAUCAUAGAAUUGUGGAGUUGUAGUCAUCUAGUCCAACCAGUGGUGGAGCAAGCUGAGCUGGCACCUGGGGCAUGCCCUGUACCCAGGGGUGGGGCUAGCCACCAGCGAGGGCAGGGCCAGCUGCCUGUGGGGUCAGGCGAGCUGGGGCAGGAUGCUCUGUGGGGCCUCUGAGGAGUCUGCCUGCCUCCUCCCACUCAGCCGCUCUACAGCUGAGGGGGAGGCAGUGGGCAGACUGUUUAGGGCAGCGCACAGUCUGCGGGUGUCCAAGCCACUGCAUCAUUCCCAGGAGAGACGCGUGGAUCAGGUGUGCUGCAGGUCCCGUGGUGAAUGCCACUCGGCAUUUUGUCACCCCCCUCAGUGGUGACACCUGAGGUGGACCACCACACACCCCUUUCCUCCAUCCCUGAGUCCAAUCUCCUGUAAUGGGAAUUACGACUAAAUUAUCCCUGACAGAUGACCACCCAGCCUCCGCUUAAUAACUCGAAUGAUCAGGCCGAAAGAGAAAAAUUAAUCCCUGAUCCCAUCCCUUAAUGUUCUCCUAUAGAAUGGACCAUGGUCACUGAGACAUUUUGGCAACUGAGGCAAACAGCAAAAUGGCGUCCCUCACCAGGGAAGAAGGAGGGAGUGAAGCUCUGCAUUGGACAGGAAUAAAUAUCUACACACAAUGUGUUCCUUGGAGGCUGGAUCUGCUGCCCCUGUAGAUCCUGCUGCCUGAGAAAGUUGCCUCAUCUUGCCUCAAAGGCCGGGGGGCCUUGGAACAGAAAGCUAUCACUUAUUGCUGGGUUGGGAAGUGGAACCACACACGAACUGUGCGAGUGAUGUUGGAAGUCAAAAUCAAAAUCUGCCCUUUGACUUGAAAUCAAGAGUUCCCUCACAGAGAUUCCUUGGGGUAGGACUAAAGACCUCAGUGUUCUCUGUACAUCCCCUGUCUGUACAAAACAGUGAGCCACAAAGCUAUAAGUAGAGAGUUGCAUCCAAAAAAGAUGCCCCAUUAGCACAAGGAUUUGUACCUGCACAGCAGAACAUAUUCUCCCUCUCCUCUCCCCAUAUGUCCCACAGAUCUUCUCCAGAGGGUUGGGGGGGAGGGGAAACAGGGCCUGCACAGUGAGAGUAGAGCGAGCGAGCAAGUCAUGUUGUGUAGGUAGAAUGCCUUGCACUAAUGGGAUGACUUUGUCAGAUACAGUUUAUGCUUUUCAUUUUUCAUACAAGAUGAUCAUCCCUCGCUCUCUUAAUUCUCUAUCUCUCCAAACAUAUCACUAAGUAUCCGCUUGAGGACAGGAUAACAGAGAACCUGCAGUGAACACCAGCACCUUCCAGAGCCAAGUUUCAGAAGGUAGUGCAUAUUGCAAUGACACCAGUCAAAGCCAGAAGCCUUAUCAUUGUGGAAGUCUCAACCCUGGAAGCAAAGAACCCGCAUUGUCAGGAAGUCUCUAAUUUCACUAAGCAGAGAUACAGGCUUUUAUUUUGCUCAUUAGGGAAUGUUAAAUGUUCUGAAUAAGCAAAAUCAUAAUUAUCAUCAUUUAAUACUAAAUUAAAUGGGAAGCAAGCCUUUAAAACUGCAGCCAAUUUCCUGCCAGGGAGCAUUCUAGGAUUUAAAUGGUGUGGAUGUGACCACAGAGUUUGGCUUGUAAGCAUCUUCUUAUGCCUGGCUUGCACAUAACAUAAAACCACUAUUUACAACAAACUAUGGUUUAACAUGCAUGAGUACCUUGAAUCUCUGCUGCUCUUGACUGUACCAUGUGAGGGAGGAAACAAGCUUGUUGAUAUACAUAUGUAAGCCUAAGUGUUUGGUUUGUUUCUUUCCAAACCACAAGCAGAAUCCAGGGUGUGUUCUUGGUUAACGCUCAUAGUUUGCUUGGAAGAAGGAAGCCACAAGUUUGGGUUCAGUCAUCAUAACAAACCAGACUCUGGCUUGAUUCCCCCCUACAGUCAGAAAUGGGCGAGGAGCAAAGUGGCUGUGCAGGCUAAACCAUAGUUCAUUUUAAACUAGGGUAGGGAACCUGUGGCCCUCCAGAUGUUGCCGGACUACAACUCCCAUCAUCCCUGGCAACUGAUCAUGCUGGCUGGGGGUUGGAUGGGAAUUGGAGUCCAACAACACCUGGAGGUUAGCCACCCCUGUUUGAAACCAUAGUUUAAUGCUGCAUGCAAACCAGGCCUUAGGGUGCUGGCUGUCUUGCUAGAGAUCUGUCGUGGGGGCAAGUAGGCUUUCUCAGUGUUUUAAACUGUGCCUCCAUCUAUGUUCAACCUGAGCAUCUGUGAAUAAAUGCAAAUACGAUAGAACCCCAAUAAGCUUUUUAGUGACCUUCCAAGGAGAACCAAAUACGGGGUAAAUGCUGCACCCCUGAAGCUUCUCAUUGCUCAGAGAAGCGGGGUGACCAUAACAUAUUUGUUUAUUUAAAAAAAUACGCCAUCUUUAAAAAAGGAAAACAGCAUGUGUUGGGGCCAGUGUCGGAUUUACAUAUAAGCUAAACAAGCUAUAGCUUAGGGCCCCACUCUCUUGGGGCCCCCAAAAAAUUUUUAAAGGAAAAAACCUGGAUGUACAUUUCCAAAAUAUAAGAUAAGAAAACCUACAUACAGCAACAGUGAUUUGUGUUGUGUAGGCUCUUACAGUGUAAGUAAUGGGCCCCGCCUGCUCACCUGAUCCCUAAAAUAUCACUAGUUUGCUCAUUUCUAUAUAUAGGGUGCUUACAUUCUACAUGGACUGAUUGCAUGACAACAUGUGCAAAAGGCUUUAGAUACCUAUUAGGUCCAUAAAUUACUAUAUAGCAUAUAUUCAACACAAAAAAGAGUGACAAUUUGUUGAUGACAAAGGACAGCUGGACAUAUAAAGGGCCCCAUUACCUUCAGUAGCUUCUUGGGACUUGCAGUACUAUGUUCCUUCCCUGCCACCUCCAUUUGAUGUGCAGAAUCCUGUCAUUGUGAUGGCCUUCUGGGAAGCACGUAAACACACUGUGGAAGGAAAUCCACCCCAUUUUUGGCUCAUGAACUGUUCUUUCCUUCUAGGCAGCAUGCUGUAUGUUAGCACUCCAGUCUUCUCCUUACUGCUGCUGCUUCAGUGACCAGUGAUUUGAACUGACAAAUGGUUUGAAGCCAAAUGCUGAGAUGAAAAUAAAAUAAAGGUUGCCCUCUCUUUCUUCUCUAGACUGUGCAAUGACUUGCUAAAGGCAGCAUAAGUACAAAUCAAAAAUGUGUAAGUCUGUUGUCAAGCUAGAAGCCAACACUUCCUAUUUCUCUUUAAUGAGCUACUGUACAUGGGUAUUGCAACAAAACGUUGUGGCGUAGAGCAUAGCUGUUCAGGAUGCCAGGCAUUCCAUUCCAUUGCAGCCUGUUUUCUGGUUUUGCCUGUCUCUCCCGCCUCCCCAAUAAUCCAUUUGCUGGCACAAAUAUAAAACAUAUUACACAAAUAGAACACCCCCCCAGCUUUUACAUGCAAUAAAUGUACUGCAGCCCUUCAUCUGCUCAAACUCACCUAUUCAUAUUUCAGUACCAAGGACAGAGCAGAAAGUUUAUCAUACAGCAUAAUUCACUCAUGGUGUCAUGAAUAAUAACUCUAAGUCCCCUGUUGAAUUGAAAGUCUCUCCCUCUCUCUCUCCGUUUGACAACUCAUACUACUUCAAGGGAAAGUUUAACUUCAUGAAUUAUAUUCAUUCAUACAUCUAUAUCUAUAUCCAUUCAAACUAGGAUAGCUCAGUUGGUAGAGCAUGAUUUCAGGGUUGUGGGUUCAAGCCCCACGUUGGGCAAAAGAUUCCUCCAUUGCAGGGGUUUGGACUAGAUGACCCUCAAGGUAUCUUCAAAUUCUACAAUUAUUUGAUUCUAUUUAGCUGUUGAUCUAUCUAUCUAUUUAUUUAUUUAUAAAAAUUCUUAUAUGUAUCAAUUUCAUUAAGAGAAAAUCAAAGCAGUGUAAAGCAACACACACACACACACACACACACACACACACACACACACAUCCUACAUAAAAAUCACCAGAGUCACAAAACUCUGGCUAACUGUGGGAAAGUGGGUGUUUUUUAACUGUCUGCAAAAGCCAGGCAGCAUAGAGAAUUAUCCAGCAAGUGUCUAAAAGGGAUCAAGCCAAAGCCCUACCUAGUUCAUAAUACUCUUCCCACAGCAGGUAGACAGAUGCCAUUUAUUCAUUUGUUUUCUGAUUGCAUUCAUACGCUGACCUUCUGCCAAGGCGCUCCAGGCAGUUUAUAAUUUUAAAUUACCCAGACAAACAAAUGGCAUAAAAUAAAAAAGUUGUCCUGAGGGGGAAGGGGGCUGGAUCAGGCCUUCAUGUGGGCUUUGCCUCUCUCCUGCAUCCGACUCUCUGCUCCAUUCCCACAGGGCAGAUGAUGUCCACCAUCCAUGAUGAAUCCUAUGGGAAGCCCACAAGCAGAGCAUGAGAGCAACGGCAAUAGCUAAGGCAGCAAAGUGGAAGUAUGAAAUGAACAAAAAACCGAGGACCCAGAUUCCGUACUAAAUCAUCCUUUUCUUUCCCCGCGUUUCCAUGGUGAUAAGCGUUGCUGCUUCUGCACUUCCCGGAGAAGCUGCUUCUGAUCAUAUGCACAUCUGGUAGCUGUCACACAUUUUUAAAAAGAAGCACACACACACCCUGAUGUAAUAUGGUGUCCAAGACACUGAGCUGUGCAUUAGGACAACUCUGGCUCAGUCAUAACUCUGUGGUGGUAGAUGGAGAAGGAGAUCUGGAGGAGCAUCACAUCUGGAGGACACCACAUCUGGAAGACACCAUGUUGGCUACCUGAUAAUGCAUGUUAUCAGGCUAGUCACAACCAGCCACCAUACCUGGGGUGAAAUGCCAUCUAAUUCUAGCCAUGUGUCUUAAUGUCAACCAUAGAGUAAAUAGGAAAGCUAUUUUCUGUGACAGGCAAUGGGAGGCAAUACUGGAUUCUCUGUGUCUAGUUAUUCUUCCAACAGAAAAACAGAAUAAAUAAUUCAUUCCAAGAGGGGAGUUGGAACCUGAUGAGCAGAAACAAAAAAUAAUGUCUUCAAAGGAUGGAAAGAAAGGAAAGUAUCUAUUUCCCAUACAUUUUUCAUUCAUCUUGUUGCUGCUGAGCUCAUAGGCAUGUUCAGCUAGUAUUCAGAGUAGCAUAGGGCCUCUGAUCCUGGAAGUAGCAGUAGGUAUCGUGAUGCUUUGCAGAGACUUGGGUGUUUGGCAUUAUCUUCCUCCAGGUUGGUCAGGGGUUCCUGACCUCAAGUCAUAAAAUUGCAGAGUUGGAAGGGACGCUGAGGACCAUCUAGUCAAAUCAAUUGGAAUGCAGAAAUCUCAUAACAGGUGGCCACCCAAUCUCUGCUUAAAAACCUCCAAGGAAGGAAAGUCCACAACCUCCCAAGGGAGUCUAUUCCACUGUCUAACAGUUCUUACAGUCAGAAAGUUCUUCUUGAUGAUUAGUUGGAAUCUCCUUUCUUGUAACUUGAAGCUAAUGCUUCAGGUCAUUCCCUUGGAGCAGGAGAAAACAAGCCUGGUCCAUCUUCCAUGUAACAGCCCUUUAGAUCUUUGGAGAUGGCUACCAUAUCUCCUCUCAGUCUCCUCUUAUCCAGGCUAAACAUACCCAACUCCCUCAACUGUUUCUUAUAAAGCUUGGCUUCUAGGCCCUUGAUCAUCUUGGUUGCUACCUCUCCUUGCUUGGGCCAUCAUAUCUUCAUGGUGUUGGCCAUCCCAAUGGAUCACAACAAGAUGAAGGCGUGUGUGAAAACCUCUGGCUUUUGUGUGGCUAGAAUGCAGAUAGGAGUGAUAUCUAUUGAUCCACCUGCUGUUGCCUUGGCUUUACCCACCAUUGGCAUAUGCUCUACCCCCAUGAAUGUUAUACACCAGAGAUGCAGUUGAAAAAAGUUCCCCUAUCCUAUCCUAGUCCAGCUUUCUGCACUGCAAUGGAUCAGAGUGUAGUGUUAUCUUUGGGGUGAAAGGGCAGGAGACCAGUGGCAUUCCACCACUGCACAAAGCCCAUUUUCAUUCAAGAUAGGAAUGAAUGGGGCCCUAGCAGUGGUAGUUUGGGGGUGCUACAACAAUGCUGUAGAAUGGAGUGUGAGAGGCGGGUGUGUGUGCAUGCCAAAUUGUAGCAUCACCCAAAGUCCACCACUAGGCCCUAGAACCAACCUGCUCAUUCAUUAAAAAACAGGCAAGCUGCUAUGUUAAGCAACAAAUGUAGAUAUCUUCCUGCUACCCACCUUCUGUGUCAGCUUGCAACCCAUCUCAGCUGGAUCCAGGUUGCUACAAGGGGGAGUCUCUAGGAUGGAUGACAUCAGGUUCCAUGCAACAUUGCUUUUGUGGCUUCUGGCAGAUCUCCCUGUGACACCGAACGGCAGGCUCUGAGCAGAAGCAGACAAUGCUCAAGAGGCAUCCUCAGCGGUGAAGGUUUGCUGGGAAAUUUGCCGCACUUCAAGGCAGAAGCACACUGACCCCAUUAUGCCAGUCUCAUCUUCAAGCACAUUUGUUACAGCAGAGUGCAGCUUAUUUAUAUAUAAAUAUAGAGAGGGAGGGAAAUGAAAACUCCACGUCCUGCAUUAUGGAAGGCAAUGCUCAGGGAUGCAAACUGAGUAGCCUUAUUGAAGCUGAGUUUGAAGAAAUGGUCAAGGAUGAUGUAGAAAACUGAUCAAUAGUUUUCAUUAAAUGACUUUGCAACAUGUUCUCUCUCCCGUCCCGCCCCCCAGUCAUGUGGGUGCUCUCAUUGGCUGGUACACUCAGGAACAAUGCCAAUGGUAAGGUGAGCAUCUCCCAAAGCCAUCAUUAUCCCACAAGAGAUGCUGAGGCAAUUUGCCAGAGCAGAGUGAGAUACCUGCAGAGCACCCUGAUUUAUUUGGCUACAGUUCAGGGUUAUGGGCAUUUGAAUUAAGGAGGCUGAAGUGUGCUGGACUACAGCCAGUUGCUUGAAUGGAAGAAUUCUUUUGAUCCAGCAAAGGAUGAGAAAGUACCAAAGGGGCAGAAGAGACUGUAAAGGCAAAUGACAAUACAGUGGUACCUCGGGUUACAUACGCUUCAGGUUACAGACUCUGCUAACCCAGAAAUAGUGCUUCAGGUUAAGAACUUUGCUUCAGGAUAAGAACAGAAAUCGUGCUCCGGUGGCGCGGCAGCAGCAGGAGGCCCCAUUAGCUAAAGUGGUGCUUCAGGUUAAGAACAGUUUCAGGUUAAGAACAGACCUCCGGAACGAAUUAAGUACUUAACCCGAGGCACCACUGUAAAUGAAGAUCAUGUGCCCUGCCCCCACCUCCACCAAUGGGAGAGUCCCAUUUGUGGAGUUUGAUUCAUGGGAUCCCAGAAUCCAAGCCACAGUUACUAUCAAUGUUUUUGUUAGUGGAAUGCUUCUCCUACUGCAUUCCUGAGAAAAUUGGUUCACUCUUAGGUGUAUCAGUGGUUUCUCAGCGUGAAGAUCCAUGAUCAUCAACGUUUCCUAAAACACAUUUUCUCUCUUCUUCACAUAAGAGCAUUGCAAGGGUUGUCAGUGAUUUAAGUCAGUUUUUGAUAUCUGUAGUUCCUUCCACCCCUUUCCAAGCCUUGGUAUUGAUAAUUAUGAUGUGAAAUAUGUUCAUUAAUUCUCCCAUCAGGAAAAUAGAUACUGUCUAAUGACCAAGUUAGGAACACUGCAGCUAUACAAGGGAACAGGAAGGAAAUAAUUAAAGAGGUAGAAGCUUUUUAAAAAAGAAGACGCAAGGAGGAAGCUACUAAUUAAAGGGACAGUGUUAGAAGGUUUUUGCUGAACAGGAGAGACUUCUAACUAAACAUGUAGUAGAAUCUAACAAACAGUUAUACCAGUUUUUCACAAGGAAUAUACAGUAGCACUACAUGAAAUGCUUCUAGCUGAUGGUACUCAGCAGUACUAAACAGCCCUAAGAUUGGAAGCAAUACAGGAUUCAAAGAACUGUUACAUUUGUUCUUUAUAUAUUCUUGAAAAUCUCUGGUAAAACAGCAGUCCUCCACGCUACAUGGCAAAGGGUUUUUGAAACUAAAGGGACUUUCAGAGGCAGCUUAUGAUAUGACACGAUGGAGUCUGCUGUUCCAAGCACAACCAAAAGGAAUCCUGCUGGGUAUUUUGAAGCGUUUAGGCAGCCUAAGGUCGUUAUUUGAAUCCUGGCCAAAAUCUUCAAUAUAAAUCCAGUGAUUCAUACAACCUUAAAUACCAUGUUUCUGCUUCUCUCAAACCUCCCAUUUGUGAGGCAAGAGGGAGUGUUGAAUGAAUGCUAAAUAGAAUGAAUGAAUGCUAAAUAGACGUUUCAGAGUUGCUGGAUUCAUCUGAAAUGCAUCAGGGAUUUUAUAGAUGUGGAAAAAUGUAAAAAAAGCACACAAUCAACUGUGUGUUGAUUGCUAAAACUGACUAUUAGAUUUUGAUAUUUCCCCUCUGCUGUUUUUCUAAACACACCAUCCAUUGCCUCAAAAGUGUUGAGCAUUUGAACUGCACCCAUAUAGAGUAGCUGGAUCUUUGGAGCUCAAAGUGCAGAGGGAAUGUUGUGUUCAGUACCAGCAACCCACUUCCCUUUUCUGCUGACAUUUCACUAUAUCAGAAGACGAGGUUGACAUUUAGGGGGCUGGGUGGUAUUUAUUUUAUGCUAAAUGCCAAGACUUCCAUUUUAGAUAGCCAAAAGCUAAGCCUGCCACUUUCAGGAGAUGUCUAUUCCCCUUACAGAGUUACAUUUCCCAGCAUUCCCUGGGAAGAGGGAUGGAUUGUUAAACCACUCUGGGAAUUGUAGCUCUGAGAGGGGAAUAAAGGUCUACCAAUGGCUAUUGGCCUAACAAACUGCAGUUCCCAGGACUCUCUGGGGAUAACCGUGACUAUUUAAAGUGGUAUGUUGGUACAGCAAUAAAACUGCUGGCACAUUUGUGAAGCUAAGCAGGACCUGGUAUGAUUUCAAAUUGGAUGGGAGACCACAUGUUGAGAUUCCUGCAUUGCAGGGGGUUGGACUAGAUGACCCUCAGGAUCCCUUCCAACUCUACAGUUCUAUGAUACUGAUAUAAAUAUAAGUGUCAGGUGGGACCUAGAUGUCUUACAAGGUCCCUUCCAAAUUUUAUGGGUGGGAUUCACCUGACCAGUCCCAUUAGUGGGCGUCCUGUGCAAGGACUUGUGCUUGGACAAUGGUGCUACCCCUCUCUUCCCCCUGCCCCACAAAUUGGCUCGGGGGUGUGUGUGUUGGGAGAAGCCCCCAGAACAGCCACACAUGGGAGGAAAGGGGAAUGGUUCCAUCUGGCAAACUGAAAUAUGUUUGUGGCAGCGCUACAUUUAAUUCUGUGCCACAACUGCCAAGCUGCAUACCUUAAGCCAGGGGCGCCCAAACUUUUUUCAAAGAGGGCCAGAUUUGAUGAGGACCAAAGUUGUUGAGCUUUUAAAAGGACUUUUUAAAAGAACAUAUACUGCCACAGGGCUGGAUUAAAUCGACCAGCGGGCCGGAUUAGGCCCCCAAAACGGACUUCGAACAUGCCUGCCUUAAGCCAACGCACCUGGAGACAUGGCUAGUACUAUGUUCUGUGCAGUGAAAAAGAAUGUAUGAAACUGCUGUGUUUCAAACAAAGAAAAGAGAGUAAAUGCUGACACCUAGAGGUCAGAUAAUGGGCUUUGUUUUGCAGAAGGCCAUUUAUAGGACUGUAUACAAAAUGAAUGCAGCCGUUUACAGAUGUGUCUGCUUCCAUGCACACAACUUCCUGCUCAGUUUACCUGUGCACUUAUAUUGCUUGUGUCUCUUGACACUAGAUUGUACCUCUCAAUUUACGUGUCAAGUUUAAAAGUGUGAACCAUCUCUACACACAUUCAGCUCUUUUGUUUUAUAAUAUUUUAUUGUGGUGUAGCUGCUUACUAUAUUUUUAUAUUCCUCUUGGCUUAAAUAAGGCACAUAGCAUAGCAUAAAUUACGACAACAAGUGUGGUCUGCCAUAAAACAUUGCAGUGUCAAGGACUCUGGUCUAGGAUGCUAGUCUAAUCCAUUUCCCCUUCGCAUUAUCCACUUUUGUCCUCUUAACUCUUAAUCAGCAUUUCGUGGUCACUGAGCAUGCUCAGUCCACAAUGGGCUUUUAUUUUGGGUCCCUCCCCCUUUUUCAUCAGUUUUGUUUGCAAAGGAGUUUUCCUGUUCAGAGGUGGUGCUAAAUAUACAACAGCACUCACUUCCGAACAUUGGAAAUGGAACAAACGGGACCUGAAACAAAAUAUGGCAUUGUCGAGUGCCCUUCUUCCUGGCUGGCUGGAACCAUAGGUGCCAACCCCCUGGGGGCCUGAGCACCCACAAAAUUCCCCAUGAAGGGGCUGGGCACCCACAAAUUUUGGUGCCAGGGCCAUGCACGCUGCAUGGCACCCAUGACUUCAGACACCAGCAGUCACAGGGCCAAGAUGGCAUCCCAUACCUUUUCCAGGAUACUCCAUUACAUUCCUCCUCCCCUGUGCUUUCCACCCCCCCUCCCUCUAACAUUGCCACUGGACAUGUUCUGGCCUUGCUGGGCUUUCCUGUAUACAAAUAAACCCUGCAAAAUACAAUUAUCAUUGCCAACAACAAACACAUCCAAAUUAAUGACAGCAUCCUAAAAAUGCCUUCUGAAAUUAUCUUCAUUGAUCUUUGAAAAGCACUAAGGGCAGGUCUCAAAAUUGCCACUCUGUUUGUGAAAAGGUACGGUUGGCUCCAGGAGUCCACAUAGGAAAACUUGACAAAAGUAGCUUCUCAUGAGAACAUAAGAACAGCCUGCUGGAUCAAGCAAUUGAUCCACCUAGUGUAGCAGCCUGUUCUCACUGUGGCCCAUCAGAUGUCUGGAGGAGACCCACCAACAAGACCUGAGCAACCCCCACCACCCCAGUUGUUUCUAGAAACUGGUACUUAUAAACACACUGCCUCCGACUGUCAUAGUCAUAAUGGUUACCAGCCAUUGACAGGGUUGUCCUCCUUGAAUUUGUCUAAACCUUUUUCAAAGCUAUCCCAGUUGCUGGCUAUCAUUGCCUCCCAUGGGAGCAAGUUCCUGCAUGAAGUGCUUUAUUUUAUCUGUUCUGACGCUUUCAACAUUCAGCUUCAUUGCAAGUCCAUGAGUUCCAGUGCUAUGAGACAGACAGAAAUAAUUCUUUGUCCUCUUUCUCCUUGCUGUGGACAAUUCUCUUCAGGCUACAGAUACCUGACAUAGAUAUGAGUGGGCAGAUAGGGAACACAACUUUUUUUGGACGGUCAUAACUUUUGUGGAAUGUUACUUGCAAGAUGACACAAAGGGGAGAAUAAUGGCAUUUACACUUUUAUGGAUGUAGUAAGGUUGGUUUUGCAUAUUUACCCCAAAGUAAGUCCCAGAGUACAAUCAGAUUGCAAACAUAGAUUGCCAUCUGAAUUGUGCUGUCUAAAUUUGGUACUAAUAUAGCAUUAAAUAUAGUACUAAAAUGUAUUGGAGGUGGAAACUAGACAGGACAGGCUCUAGAGCAGGUCAGACAAAAUUACGUUAUUUAUUAAGUGAUGGCCCCGGUAUGUAAGAUUGUGGAACUUUCAGUGGGGAAAUCUCCAAACUGGCCACCAGAUGGCAUGUGAAUAAUAUCAAGAGAGGGAACUGGAUAAAUCCCCUAAAAAGAAAUGUUAUGAUGAAGGAGACUGUUUACUUAACGCCUGCUGAAUAAAAACGGUUCCAAGUACAGACAAAACUUAAAUUGCACUGAAAUCAGUGGGACUUAGGAGUGUUUGGGCUAGGUCUCAACAUAUAUAUGGAGAAGGGAUUCAUCCACAUAUCCUGUUUGCUUGUUGUAGUGCAGGUGGCUGCUGUGACUAGGUGGAUCUUUGACCUGAUCCAGCAGAACCAGUGAUGUUCCUAGGAGUUGAUGAGGUUGGCACCCACCAGGGGUGGGAAUGCAAAAAUUUCGCCACUCCACUCCACUGGCCUGUCUCAGUGUGGCUAGAAGACUGCCUGGGUACUCCGCAAGCAACUUGUCCACUGCUCUGUGUGGCUGGGCAAGACACGGCGGCUCCUUUGGGCACCCGAGUGGAAGAAUCCAGUGUCUGGCACAGGCCUUCACAGCAGCCCUGUGGGGAUCCCUCCCCAGUUGGCCAGCAGUGCCCAGUCGGGCUCAGAGAGAAGAAGGAUGGAGAGAGUGGAGUUGCAGGAGAAGCAAAAAGGAAGGGAGGGAGGAUGCAGAAAGGAAAGCAGGGAGCAGAGUGAGGUACGAAGGGAGGUUGACCAAUGGACCGAUGGAGGGGAGGUGGAUCACAGCAGACCCGAUAUAGAUGGCCACAGAGAAAGUCACUGGUGGAGUGCGAAAGGCAGCGAAAGGCAAACUCUUUGAGUUUUGGUCCAUAUUCUCUCUCAGCUUCACUCUUUGCCAAGGGUGCAAGAGACAGGAGGGCACCACUACAUCUCCUUUGCAAGAGUGCAAGGGAUUCUAGGUAUGUCUCUGACCAGGACUGUUCCUUUGCGACAACACUGAGGAGGCUGUGGCUUCAAUGUGAUUUCUGGGCCAAAGUCCUUUGUCUCUUGAGGGUGAUGGCAGCAUGACUUCCUCAAGCCUGGAAGGUGGUAGCUAAAUGGGCCUACCAUUGAAGGUUGCCCGGGGUUGUUGUUGGGUAGAAUUCUGUCCUUCUGCUCUGAAUCCAUGGCACUGUUCCCUAAAUGGGAGGAGGUUUACCAAGGGAUCAUGAGGACUCCCAUGCAGCCUUACAUGACUUGGGAACAAACAUGGGGAACAAAGGAAGCUGCAUUAUAUCUCUUUCAGACCAAUGGUCCAUCUGGCUCAGUAGGGUCUACUCUGGCUGUAGUAGACCAGUGGUAGACCACUGUCAAUUUGAAACAGUGUAGAAAUAAAUAAUGAAUCAUUGGUUGGCAGUUCAAGUGUAUUUGUGACUAUUUUGUUGUUCAGCUGUUGCUGGGACCCUUUGGGAAAAGGAAUCAAUGAUUGAUCAGCAGCAGUACUUAUGGAGAACGGGGUUGUGAGUCAGGUGGUCUUAAUGUUCUUGCUGAGAUUCCCAAGGGAUCCCUUCUCACUCUCAAGCAGCAGCAUCUGCAGUCAACACUCCACAGCCUCUGAACUCCUCUCUCCAAUCUCUCUUCUCUUUCUGCCCCUGGGAAGUGACAGAAGGGGAGGCUAAUGCUGUGCUUAGAGGAGCAUGCACGGAAAAAGAAAUCCACAGAGUGAUUUCUAAGCCAAUUUCUCAUGCACCAGGGCCAGCUCUGUGACUUAGAAAUGGUUCUCUUAAUUGCAUAGCUGACACCAGGGCACAUCAUGGCCUUGACACCAGCAUGCAACAGGGGUGUGAGAAAUAUAAUCUAUCAAGAGCAGAAAUUAGAGAAAACAUGGCAUUGGCUGUUGUUUGCCACUGUGCCAUUUGCAAACCCUGUUUCGUUUACCAGUGAGAAUAGAAUCAUAGAAUCAUAGAGUUGGAAGAGACCACAAGGGCCAUCGAGUCCAACCCCCUGCCAAGUCGGAAUUAAAAUUCCCCCUGCCUUAAUAUUGCUCCAGGGCAUGUAGAUUUGGGUUGUAGAACUUGUUUUCAGCACUCAGCUCAGGAACCUGGGAAAUUAAAAAAAGAAGAUCACCUCUAGGCAUGUGCAAAGUGUUUUUAUUCACCACUGAAUAAUGACAACCUGCCUCCAUUAGGUCUUGGGAUAGGGUUUAGCUUUUCAGUGUGUAUGUUUUAAGAAAAUAGGAAUCCAGGGAAACCAGUGUGGUUUAAUAGUUGAGGGAUGAUUCAGGACUGCGAAGUAUCAGGUUCAAAUCCUGCCUCAGCUAAGAAACUCACUGGGUGAUCUUGGGCCAGUAACUAUCUCUCAGCCUAACCUACCUCACAGAAUGUUGUAAGGUCAAAUUGGGAGCAAUGAGAACCAAUCAGUUCCUUGGAUGAACGUUGGGACAUAAAUAAAUAACUCGGUCCAACAAAUUCUCCUGCCUAACCUGCCUGUUGUUCUCCUCAUCUUUCUCCAACAUGCAUCCCCAAAGGAGCUUUCAAAGGGUGCUUUGGCAGGCAGAGCCAAUCCAGUGCUCAGGCUGGUACACCAACAUGGCCUCAAACUCACCUGGACCCAUCUCCAUCCAGGUAAGCGACAGAAGCGGCACUGGUGUUGGGAGGGUUAUUCUUGUUAGAUUUCUGUUAUGCCACUGUGCAUUUUUUGGAGUCACAAGACUCUGUUCACAUUCCAGACUGUUGGAAGUCUCACGGGAGAUGGGAGACAGAUGUUGAUGUUACUGGUUUCCUGUUUCUUUGUUCCCAGUUGUUCACUGUCUCUCACAGAGAGCAGACGCGUAUUCUUUUCUCUCCUGCGUAGAUAGAAAUAAACGUAGCAUUGUAGCACCUAUUUCCUGGCUCCUUCUGCUGUUUGGAUACUCUCCGUAAUGGGGGAGUGUGCCUGAAGCCUCAUCAAAGGCUUAGGUCGUUAAUUACCGUCGGAGCAGAGCCUCGAUGGAUUCCAAAGUAUGGAGGAGGAGAGCCAUUACAGCUCGGUCGUACGGAAGCUCUGACAAUUCUACCCUACCACAUGGGCUGCUACUGCAUAAGGAGUUGCAUAAACAGGGUGCCACCAUGAAGCUGGCCCUGUCUUAUGUUGCUCCCUUACGUUCUUACUACUUUCCCAGAGACAAUAGGCCUCUGAAUUCUAUUGCUGGGAAUUCUAAGUAUGGAAAGAGCGCUGUUGCACCCAGAUCCUGCUGGUGGGUGUUCCACAGGCAUCUUGCAUGGCAAGGCCUCCCUUGCUGAUGAAAGAACUUCUUGUAAAGGUCAAGACAUUUCCUUCCAAUUACUUAAAUGUUGUUUGCCGCUAAAUUCGUAACAUGGCACCAUCUAGGGAAAUGCAUAAAUACUCUAGACUCUUCUGACAUAUAUACCAUGAGUAAUGGUGACAUUUCGUAACAAUGCUAUCGCACGAGGAGCACAAAUAGUUUCUGUGCUUCACUUUGUGUCUUUGUUGAAAGCUGUAGGACUGGAUCAUGUCACCUAAGAUUUUCUGUGCAUGGUUGUCAGCCUUGCGAAGGAUGUCAUUUGCAUGUUGAAGUGAUACAUCUGCUACCUGCACGAAUUUGGGAUAUUCCCCAAUGUUUGAGAUGCGCCUAAUUGGAUUAUGUUGCUGAAGGCUGGAAUCAACAACAUCACACGGCAAGAAUUCCAAAUUGGUGACAGGCAAGCAAAGUGUCCCCCAGGGCUGAUCUGCUACAGGUGCCUGCCGAGUCAAAAAUAGAUGGGACUCAUUUUAAUUGGGAAAGACACAUGUACAUUCAUUCCACUUGCCCCCUUUACUUGGCAGAAGGCACAGAAGCAAUGCAUGGGGGGAAAGACCAGAUCCUUGAUUCAUUGUAUUAAGAAAGAAAAACUUGAAGCGGGUUGCCACUGCCUUUCUCUGGAGGAUUCUACCCACCCACGAGAUUGGUAAGUCAGUAGUCUGAGUGAGGAACUGUCCAAAUGCUGCUUUUCCAAAUGCUGUUUAGACUCCAACUCCCAUCAGCCCCAGCCAUGAUGAGAUUCAGCAUGAUGAGAAUCCAACAGUGUCCGGAGGGUGAUAGGUCCCCCAUUCAUGUGUCAGGGACUGGCACAAUACUGACAUGUGUUCAUUGGGGGAAGGGUUUGGAGUUUGACUUGGCAGAGUGGGAUGUAUUGGUCUGUAGGGACCUGUACCAGCCAGGAGGUAAAAAUCAGAGCUGGAAGAAGAGGAGGAAGAGGCAGAAGAGGCAGGUCAGGCAAGUGAAGGGUUGGGGGCUUUCCCACCUUCCCCUGCACCACUGUCUCCCUGAACCAGUAGAGGACUGAAGUGGGAAGAGCAGGAGCAGCUUCCACACAGGCAUAGUCUCUGGCUACAUGUGAGCAGCCUAGCAGGGGAAGGUAUAUAAAUUGGAGGAGGGGGAGUAGUCCCCAGUUGUUGCAAGUGCUUCAUUGAUUGCACACCUGGAAAUAGUAGGUGCUAGAUUGGUUUGUGUAGGUAUCCAGAGCUGUGGAAGCGACUGGCACUGCCUUGUGCCACCCUGCUCUGCCCCAGCUCCAUUCAGGGAUGGCGUUGGGAGAGCAGCUCCACAACUCUGCCCCAGCACACUGGCUGCUAUUGCAUCUGUGUGUGACCAUGUCAGGAUGCUGUCAGCGACUCCCGGCUGGUUGCCCAGGAAAGUAUAAAGACAAGGAGAAGUUUCUUACUGUCCUUUUCUUUAUUUCAAACUUUACAGAGAGAGGCUAUAGAACCCAGCCUCUUGGAUAAUGGUGUUGUCCCGAGUGAAUCUCUACCCACCCCUUCUCUCCCACUUCUUCAUUCACCGUCAUCAUCACCUCCUCUAUGGGUGCCGCUAAAUGCCCUCUGUCUUUGAACUCUUUGCUCUACUACUUUUAAGGCUUCCCACGUUCUGGGAGAUGGUGGGUCUGGAAUGCUUUCUAAUGACAACAUGUCAGCCGGGUGUUGCACUGGCUCUCCCAUUAUUUCCAACUUUCCCCCCAUCUGCCUCUGAGCUGUGACCUCCCUCAACCUCCUGUUGUAAAUCUAUACUGUCUUCUUCUUCCUCCUCCUCCCUCCUGGAAGGGUGUCACAGUCCGGUUCACAGGCAGUCGAAGUCCUGGCUGGGGACAUCGGGACUGGGGCAAGAUGGCGGGCUGGCAGCAGGAACGGGAGUCCAGAAGCCAAGAGUCCAAGGGUCAGAGAACCGGGAGUCAAGAAGCCAAGGGUCUGAGGGUCAGGAAGCAAGGAGUCACAAAGUCAGGGGUCCGAGGAUCAAGGAGCAAGGAGUCACGAAGUCAGGGGUCUGAGGAUCAAGGAGUCAAGGAGCCAAACGCAACAAGGCAGGGAGUGUGUUGCUGUGGCAAAGAGUCGAAGGGAAAUGCUGACCUUAUAUCCCUUCCCGGCUCUUGCCACCAGGUGCUGUGAAUUACCAAUUGGCCUCACCUGUGUGGCCGCGCCUUGCCUCUUCAGAACAAACUUAGGAAGGCCCCAGUCCUGCAAAGUCCUACUGGUCACAGGGCCUGGCUCCUGCACGCACUCCUGACAAAGGGUCAGGAUGGGGAGGCGGUCUCCACCAUUCCUUCUCCUCUACCCAGUUCCUGACAGAACCAGGGUUAAGUGAACCUUGGUGGUUAUGCUCUGUUUCCACAGCUGGAGGCAGUACUGUUUCUGAAUACUGGAAAUUAUAGGAGGAGUGUGUGUGCUCUUAUGCUUGGAUCCUGCUUGUGGGAUUCCCACAGUCAUCUGGUUGACCACCGUAAGAACAGGAUGCUGGACUAGAUAGGCCAUUGGCCUGAUCCAGCAGCCUCUGCUUAUGCUCUUAUGAAUGGCUUUGGCUUCUGUGUUGCCCUCCGCUCAGCUCUUUGAAGUGACUUUUCCUCUGUAUUCUCCAGUUUGAAUUUUCCUCCAAUUAAAGCCUACUGCCUCAUUAUCGUGACUGUCUUUAUUCAUUACCAUCCCAAAGUAGCUAUAAUUAUCUCUGGGUCUUUUAUGUGUGUGUUUUUGCUCUUCCCUGGACCACAACAUUACAUCAGCCUCUCUCACUAACCUCUGGCUAUAGUUCUUCUAACCAUUUGGAAAGUUGGCUUAGCAGAACGGCCUACAGUCUCUUUCCUCCAUUGAAAAAUCAUGCUAUAAAAAUAUUUUUUUUCAUUCCUUUCAGUUUCUAUUACUACAUGGACCCUGGAAAAACUCAUUCCCAGGCUGAAUAUUUAUGUAUGGGUACAUAUGCCAUUAUGUUGUGUUAGAAUAUGAUAAGGGGAAGCUAGGAAACUUACACAGUGGAUAGAUUACUUUUGGUCUCUAGUGAGCAUUUCAAGGAGAUUCUGUGACAAUAUGCAUUCCUAUUCACCCUGGUUUGCUUGUGUGGUCUUUAUACACCUUCCCAUUAAUCAUUCCUCUACUCCACUCUAAUCAGUUUAUUUCCUCAUCACUUUCCUAACUGCAGAAAGGUUAUUAUUAUUAUUAUUAUUAUUAUAUUUUAAAAAGUAGUUUUUCUUGUAUUAGGGUAACUGAUUGCUUAAUAAUAAUAAUAAUAAGCCACUCUGGGCGGCUUCCAACAAAAUAUUAAAAUAUAGUAAUGCAUCAAACAUUAAAAGCUUCCCUAAACAGGGCUGUCUUCAGAUGUCUUCUAAAAGUCUGGUAGUUGUUGUUCUCUUUGAUAUCUGGUGGGAGGGCGUUCCACAGGGUGGGUGCCACUACUGAGAAGGCCCUCUACCUGGUUCCCUGUAACUAGGCUUCUCACAAUGAGGGAACUGCCAGAAGGCCCUCGGUGCUGGACCUCAGUGUCCGGGUAGAACAAUUGGGGUGGAGAUGCUCCUUCAGAUAUACUGGACCGACUUUAACCUAAAGAAAUGUUCUAUGACAACACUAUCUCUCUGCUUGGAGACCUUUUUCUGAGUGAACAGUUUCCUCUACUUCAUCAAGAGUUUCUAAGCGUCUUUAAAAGUUCAAAUCCCCAUUCAGCCAUGAAGCUCACCGGGAGACCUUGGGCCCGUCACAGUCUCUCAGCCUUACCCACCUCACAGGGGUAUCAUGAUAAUGAAAUGGGGUGGAAGAGAACCACGUAUGCCACCUUGAGCUCCUUGGAGGAAAUGUGGGCUACAAAUGUAAUAAAUUAAUGAAUUAAAUGACUGUACAAACCUAAAAUUACAGUGCGUUGAUUAAACUCUCCUGCAAAAGACUGGCAGUCUGGAGGUGACCUUAGAUACGCACUGGAGAGAGAGUGGAAAUCUGCAAAAAGAACAUGCCACAGAUUCUACUGUUGCAGAACUCUCAAUGCUUAGAAUUCCAGUGCUGAAAGUCAGUUUUCUGUGUAUUUUUUUUGCUGUUGUAAACUUGGUAAUAAGCGAUUGAAAUGCUCAACUGGAGCUCCAUAAUGUUUAUCUGGUGCUCUAUACAAGGGGUGCCAACUUGCCCUCAGGAUUUUGGGUGCCCACUGCCGCAACGCGGAUGUGUGAUGUCCCAUGCACAUACCUGUACAUAGGGUGUGUGACGCCACACACACUAUGUGCAGGCAUGUGUAUUGGACGUUGCACAUCCACAUGGCAGCGUCUGGUGGCAGCGGUUCCUCUUCCUCCUCUUUGCAGCCAGUGAGGCACCCUUUUCCGUGGGCAAGGGCUCGGACUUGGAGGCAAAGAGACCCUGCCUCAGUUUCCAAGGCCCCACCCCCUGGAAAAGGGUGCCUCACUGGCUGGCUGUGAAGGGCGGAGCUAAACUGCUUGUCUCUCAGAAGCAGCACUGCUGCCACCUGCUGGCUUUUAUCAUUGACUUUGUGGGUGCCUGGCCCCCCACAAUUACAGUGGUACCUCUGGUUACAGACGCUUCAGGUUACAAACGCUUCAGGUUACAGAUUCUGCUAACCCAGAAAUGCUACCUCAGGUUAAGAACUUUGCUUCAGGAUGAGAACAGAAAUCAAGUGGCGGUGGUGCAGCAGCAGCAGCAGCAGGAGGCCCCAUUAGCUAAAGUGGUACCUCAGGUUAAGAACAGUUUCAGGUUAAGAACAGACCUCCAGAAUGAAUUAAAUUCUUAACCCAAGGUACCACUGUAUAUUAUUGUGGGUGCCCUAGCACCCAUGGCCCCCUGGAGCUGGCUCUGUACCCUCUCUACUCCAGAGGCAGAACGGUCAUCCUUGUCACGCCUAUUAGGUAUCUGGGGUAUCUGUGCUGGAAAAGAAUAUUGAAUAAAAUGAACCUUUGAUUUGAUGCAGAAGGCAAUUCAGAAGGUCCUGGGUUUGCUUUCACCAGUGCAUAGUUCGCAGAAAAGUGUGGCUCUAACACACACACACACACGUGAGAAAUAUUAGAAAGCAUCAGAAACAUAACGGCAAACAGGUUUCUUUCUUGCAUGUUUUGAAAGUAGUAAGCUAUUUCAAUAGGCAAAGAUCAACUUAAUUAAGUAGACCAUAGAAGGGAAAGUAGAAAUGGGAAUGCCUUUUGAUUAAAAACAUAAACACUGUAGACAAUGCAGUUUCCAUCUAUAGACAGGCUGAGCAAAUAUAAAAUUGGAUUCUUUGUUGCAGCUAUUGAUGGCAUUUGCAUCUUAUGCAAACCUCAUCUUGCUGGCUUGAUACUGAAUGCAUCACAUGAAACCUGUAUUGUUUAAUGUGUUCUAUUGAACUGUUAGCUCAUCAGUAUCUAGACAUUCAAUUGGAGAAGUUAACAAAGACUCUGUUUUGUUUUUUAAGAGAGAGAACAAGGCAGAAAAGAAAUGGGAAUUAGUUAAAGACCUACAUAACCCUUGAUAAUUAGUCUUGCAAAAUAGGGAGGGCAUUUCCUGCCUGAUUAAGCAAAGCAUAUCCCAACCACAUUUGGAUGACAUUGCUAAAUGCAACCUUUAAAUUGAAAUAGGAUUGUUACUUAUAUCUGAUCCAUAUGAGAUGAAAAAAUAAUCUAAUUUUGAGGGCAUAAUGGUUCGGUUACUUGCCUGUGAACAUUUCUUUUUAAAGUCCAGCUACAUCAGAUGUACACAACUUGUGACCCACCAAACUAAUCACAGUUCAUUGUCCAUGUAUGACAGCUCAUUCAAGAUGCUAUAAAUGUCCUGCUACUGAAACAACUGGGAGGGGUGUUUUGCUGCAUCUCUGCAUCCGUCAAUCGGCUUUCAUCAAUCAUUACAAUGAAGUGCUUUCAGAAUUCAUUGAAAAAUGGAAGAAAUAGACACCUUAUGGUUGCUUGUGCUGGAGUUCAGGGUGGAAAAAUUCUGGCCCGCUAGAUGUUGCUGGACUCCAGUUCCCAUGAGCCCCAGCCAAUGUGGCCAACAGCAAGGGAUGAUGGGACUUGUAGUUCAACAACAUCUGGAGGGCCAGUCCUGUUGUAUUUUAACAGCAUAGUCUUCUUACUUUUUGCCAUCCUGAAGAAAAUACUAUGAGUGACAGCAGCAUAGAAUGCUCUGAUAAAGUGCACAGCAUUUUCAUCAUCCCAAGAGAUGUUCCAUUCAUUCCCCUCUUUGUGACUAGCAUUAUUAAGGAUAAGACGAUGGGGAUUUGAUGCAUUUAUGUUUGGCUCAAGGAGAGCACAAUCCAUUUACAGGAGAAGUGGCUUUCUGCUCAGGAAGGAUUACUCCUCAAGGGAGCACUCCCUCCCAGUUGAGAACAGCUCAAAUGCACCUUGUUGUUUUCAGAGUGUGCUUUCAUGAAAGCGAGACCUUUGUAUCAACAACCAUCACCAGUCUGGGUAAGUGUGGUGUCUUCAAGGAACAUAGGGGUAAUAACAGUUUGAACUAAUGGAAACAUGCAACUUGUGUCCCGUGAAACCUGUCAUAAAGCACCAGCCAUAGACGAUGGCCAACUAGAGGCUCAUUUACCAUGCUUCUGCUCUCUGCAGAAGACAUUGAGGCUCUCAAUCUGUGGGUCAGGCCACAGCAUAUGGCAAGUGGGAUGUGUUGGUUCAGGUUCCACCAAGUUGGUAGUGAUGGCCAUCAACCUGGAUGACUUUAAAAGAUUAGAAAAAUUCAUGGGGAAUAAGGCAGAUGGUGACUACUGACUGCUAUGGUUAUGUUCUCCCUCCACUGCUGAUACCGCAAGAGGGGAGAGCAGCGUUAUACGGAGGUCUUGCGGAAACACCUAGGCAGGGCUGGUCAGAGGGAUGGGGGAAUGAGAUGUGACUCUGGAAACCAGUCAUGAGGAGCGGUUCAGUGGCUUGGGAGCUGCUGAUCUGGACACUGGGGAGGGGCUGAGCAGGUAGUCAGGAGAAAGCUCCACUGCAGGAAUAGCAAAUAUCCCAAGCAAAUAUCCAAGUGGGAGAGGUGUCUGAAUUGGUUACUGUCUCACCUCUUACUGGUGAAGCAGACAUACCUCUGAGUCUAGGCCAGACAAGGAGCCACCACCAUCAAGGAUACAACACCAGGUGCAGUGGCAUAAGCCUACUUGCAGGAGGGGCCAUCUCUUUACCCAGUUCUGUGGCUCUGAUGGGACCUGCACAAAUGAUUCUGUCUAUCCCACUCUUCAAAAGGGGAGUUCCAGGGUGUGUAUCAAGGGUUGGAGCAACAUCUUGGCUUAUGUCUAGCCAUGUACCCUAGAGCUCUGUAUUAGUUUGUUAAGUGUGCACCUUGUAAAAUAAUUUAUGUUUUGGCUGCAUAGUGAAUUUUGGAAUAAAACCUUUGGUAAUAGCUGAGCUGAGAGUCCAUGUACUGCAUGCACAAGUGGGAACCAGGAUACUGUUCUGGCUCUUUUGCUUAUAAACAAUACAGGGUUAUGACAAAUGUAUUUUGUACGUUUGGCAUGGAGUGGGGAAUAAAUGCAGUACUGAAAAUGUAACUAUGGUUAAGGUCACAAAACACUACUAGUAAUGCUGUUGGACAUCCCAUCAAAUAAUUAAUACAGAAAUACAGAACAAGCCAAAUGGAUUUCCCCUUGAUGGGGUACUACUGAAUCACACUGCUCCAAGGCAUGUUAAUAGCAAUAAUGUAAGUGGGUUUAAAAGGGGACUUGACAAGUUCAUGGGGGAUAAUAAUGGAUUCAUUUGUGUAGAUAAAUAUUCAACUAUUACAAAAACACCACAAGUCUCCAGUACCCAUUCCUGACAAUGAAAAUGACUUUAUUAAAGGCUGUCCCGUAAGAUUUCCACUACUCAGACAAGUUGUAAUCACGAAAUACAAUGUGUUUAUUUAUUUAACAAAAGUUAUAUACUGCAUGAUUGAAAAGUGACAUGGUAGAAGUUUAUAAAAUUAUGCAUGCUGUCAGGGCCAGCCCAAUACAUUUUGGCUCCCGUGGCAAACCACAAAAUGGCACCCUCUCCCUGCUAGGGAAGAAGGGUCACGUGAAGAUCUAUAUUGGGAACAAAGGAUGAGUAAAUAUUUACAUGGCAAUCUGCUGCCCCUGUGGAUUCUGCCACUUGAGGCGGUCACCACAAUUUGUCUCAUGACAUGAAGAAAGUGGAUAGAGAAAAGUUUCUGUCUCUAUUAACACCAGAACUUGUGGACAUCCAAUGUUGCAAGAUUUGGAAGAGAUAAAAGAAAGUACUUCUUCAUUCAGGAACUUGUUCCCACACAGAGGCAGUGAUGGGUACAGACCUGGAUGGUUUUAAAAGAGAAAGAAAUCCAUGAAGAAUAAGGCUACCAGUGGCCACUAGCUAGGACAGCAAUGCUUUGGCUCCAUGGUUGGAAGCUGUAUUCUUCUGAAUACCAGCUGCUGGAAGCUGCAAGAGGGGAGAGUGCUCUUGUGGGAAUUAGAUGGCGUUUUGGCUUGUUCCAGCAUGAACCAGUUUUACAGACCAAGCUGGUGAAUUGCAUGAGAAUCACCUGUCUAGCAAAUGAACCAUACUGAAAAUUCAGGGUAUAAGCUAUAGCAAAAGCAGGUCUCUAUGGCAACCAUCUUUUUGGUAUUUUGCCAUUGGCCUGUUGCCGUCUCUCCCCCCCCCACCAGCUGAUCAAAUAAUGUACAAAAUGUUGAUCAGAGGCUUUGAUCUCCUAUCUCAUAUACAGCAGAACUUGCACAGCUUCACAUUCUUGCUACACUCCCACUAACGGUGCAAGAAAGUUUAAUUAUCAUCCUUGCACUUCCCCACUUUAGUUGAUGACAAUAAUUUAUCAGUCGUUGCCGAGUUUGAUGCUCUGGCAGCUCAGCCAAAUCAGAAGGUACUGUAAGAACCACGCUAAGUAUCACUGCCAAGCAAAGAGACGAAAUCAUAUGGAUUCUGUCAUCUGUGAUAAAUAGAUGCAUGCUAGAGAAUAUGGUGGUGGGGGGAAGACACAUCUCUCUGUGGGGGAUAUGUUAAAUUUUCAGGUUUACUACCCCUAACACUUUAGAGUAAAAUGGAAGAGCUGGUGAAGGUGGUGGUGGUGGUGGAAGAGAACUGGUGAAGCACAGGAUUCCAUAAUAUGUCAGAUAACGUGGGAAUUGGAAUGAGAAGUUUGAACAAGAUAAAAGGAAAUACUAAACAGAAGGAGAAACAGUGUUACAGCAGCAGCAGAGAGAGAGAGAGACAGGAGCCAGUUCCAAGGACAUCCUUUAUAUAGACUCCCACUCUUAAAUCUGUUGCAUUCCACCAGUAUGCCGGGUUUCAUUCUGCUAUCCAUAGUUAACAGGGAAUCCUGUCAUUCUAGAUGGAUGCAAUGGUUAUGAUAGCAAAGCGACUGGCAGGGACUAGUGGAGGAAGGGACAAGGCAUGCAAAAUGAUUGCUACUUGAGGGAGUGGGAGAGGAAUAGAGGGAAUGGGAGAGGAACAGAGCUACUUGAGGGAGUGGGAGAUGAAUAGAAAAGGAGUAAUAAAGAUAAAUGUAGAGUCCUGCUUGGGUCAGGCCAAAUGCAUUUCUAGUCCAGUAUGCUAACAAUGGCCAACCUGAUGCCUAUAGAAAGAUCACAAGCGGGAUACGAGAGCCUUUCUCACUGUUGUGCAAGAGGCAUUCAUAAGCAUGGAAGUAGUCUGUGACCAGUAGCCUUUAAUUUGCCUUAUUGUCUAUGGAUUUGCCCAGUCUACUUUUAAAUCUAUCCAAGAUGGUGGCCACCAGUAGGUUUUGUGGUAGCAAAUUCCAUAAGUUCACAGAAUUCCAAAUAUUGCCUUUGGUCUGACUUGAAUUCACCGUUCAGCUUUGCUGAUCUAGUAUUAGAUUCAGGUAGGUAGCCAUGUUGGUCUGAUGCAGUUGAAAUAUAUUUAAAAAAUUGUCCAGUAGCAUCUUAGAGACCAACUAAGUUUGUUCUUAGUAUAAGCUUUCGUGUGCAUGCACACUUCUUCAGAUACCAGUAUUGUGAUCUAGUAUUGUGAGAGCUGGAGAAAACUCUGUAUCCACCUGCUUUACACCAUGCAUAAUUUUAUAGUCCGUUUCUUCCCGCUUACUCUUUAUUAUAAUAUUUUCAUUUGGGUGUAUUAGAUUUAAAAGUUUAUAUGCAGGCACAAACACACAUACACACACAGAGAGAAAAACAAUGGGGGCUGGCUCAACACAUUUUGCACACACAGAAACUUCAGCACUGGUGAGCAGACAGCAACCUUCAUUAUACCUAAUGCAGGAGGCUAGCUAUGUGCAUCACUACUGUGUGUUGUCCUCCAGCAUUUUGCCACUACACUGUGCCCAUCGGCAACCACUACCUGAGGCAGCUGGCUCAUUUUGCCUUGGAAAACUGGUCUGGUGGGAGAUCAAAAGAGUCAUUAGAACUGUACAGUUUGCAAGCCCACAGUGAAGCUAGCUUGUAGAAAAAUAAUAUCAAGCAGUUCCCAGAAUGACAUAGGAGUUUCAGGAACUCUGGAUUAAGCUAAGGAAACCCAUUAUUUAAAGUUUAAUGACCCAGAGGAGCCUAGCUAAUGCUUCAUAUCCCAGAUCAAAACGUAGAGACAUCUCAGUAGAAGAGUUAGGAAGCCAUAUUUCUCUUUCUCAAGGCAACCCUGUCCACCUCUGUGAUCCCGGUGUUCCUGCCACAUGGCACAAAACGACAAACGUUGUGGACAGAAGGAGGAAAAUAGGAACAGAUGCUCUCACUUCUCUUCCAGCUUCAGAGAAAAAACAAGAGUCAAUCUCCCUCUACCAUUUUUAUAAUUGAAGGGUAUUUCACUGCAGAUAAUCAGCACUUAUGCUGACAUUUGGCAAAAUGAUGCUUCCAGAAGUAUUAUUUUUCUACUUGUAAGAUUGAAAUGAAACAAAAAUAAAACUGGUAGUGCAGAGUUCGAAUCCACAGACACCCAGUUGGAGAUAAGAAGUAGGGGUAAUGUAUGCAAACUCCUUCUGAUGUUACCACAGCAUGUGAGCGGCAUCCGUAAGCACAGUGUGUAGUCUGCCACAUUUCACAAACAAAACAGGGAUACAUUUGUAAAGGUCCUAUAUUAUAUCAGGGAUCACUCCCUAGGGAUGAACAAAUCUGUCUACUUAAAUUUCUCAUUUCUCCCAUCACCCACCAGCAUUUUAGUUCAAAUUUCUCCCAAUAAGCAUGCAUAGAAAAGCUCCAGGUAACCAUUCAAUGCAGUGCUUUAUUGAGUCCCAGAGCUGACUGUACUGCAAACUAAUUGGCCAUUUCACUCAGAAAUUAGGACACAAUCCCAAUGGGCCGAGGUUCAGCUUUCCAUAAUAUUUGCUUCCUAGGUAUUUAUCUUGUUAAGCAAACCUCAGAUAAUUUAAGAAUCAAAGCACAGGAUAACGAGUUUCACUUUCUCCUACUGAAGUUUUGACAGUUACUAUCAAUCAAACUGGCUACAUUAAUUAAUUAAAAUGAGACAGCUGUCACUGUCCUGUCAAAGAAACCACCAGUGCUUUGGGUUUAUGUCGCAAAUGGAAUGUUCAGAUUCAUUUCUUCCUGUAUGCAAAACUGGCACACAACCAACUCACACUGUUUUUUAGUCCUAGGUUUUUCAAAGUAUUAUGCUGUUUCCUGUCCUCACCAGUGGAAAUUCCUUGAGAGAAUGUUUCCAUACUUUGUUGAGGCUUUGUCCUUCAUUGUCUACUCCCCUGGCUCUCCGCUACUUUAUCCUGUUCUAGACAUGGGUGCAGGUAUUUCUGGACCUCUGCCUUUAAAGAAAAUUGCCCUACCAGAAGCAUGCAAUGUUUGCCAUGUUUCGCAAUGGGCAAAAUGAAGGCUUGUGCUUUUGUGGGUUGAGGAGAGGACAGCAUCUAUUCCUAUCUGGUUUUACCCCCUUUAACAAUGGAUAUAGAGGUCUUGUGCAAAACUGAGAUCCUGGGCAAGACCAAUUAUAAUUAUAAUUAUAAUUAUAAUUAUAAUUAUAAUUAUUAUAAUUAUUAUAAGAUUCCAGUAUAUUGUAUGAUCCAGCCCUGUUUAGGGAAGGUUUUAAUGUUUGAUAUUUUAUUGUGUUCUGAAUAUUCUAUUAGGAUCUGCCCAGAGUGGUUGGGGAAACCCGCCCAUCUGGCUGGGUAUAAAUAAAUUAUUAUUAUUAGUAGUAGUAGUAGUAGUAGUAAGAUUGUGAAGAAACUGGGUCCUCUAAACUAGGUUGUUAAAAUUUGGAUGCACAGUGCUGUCAGCAUGUAGCAACUGGUGGCAAUAGACACACUUAUAUUGUUGGGGUUGUCAGGGAAAAUUGCCUAAACUAUGCUCACUUGAAGAGCAAAUGGAAGCAGGGAUGUGCUGAUAGUGACUACUAACCCAAACNNNNNNNNNNNNNNNNNNNNNNNNNNNNNNNNNNNNNNNNNNNNNNNNNNNNNNNNNNNNNNNNNNNNNNNNNNNNNNNNNNNNNNNNNNNNNNNNNNNNUUGUAAAUAUAUUUCUCUCAUGCCAGGGAGAAGACCAGCUGAAUACUCUGGCAGCUGUUCAAGGGCCCCACUGCUAUAAAUAGCAGUAUUUCAGGGUUGUAAAAGUAUUUCAGGGUUGUAAAAGGAAAUUAGAGCCAGAGAGCAAAAGGUCACACUGACCAGAAUACAAUCAAGCUGCAAAAACACAAUUAAGAGCUGGUAAAUAGUGAAAUUUAUUGUUUAACAGAAAACUCGAGCCAUAAGGUUAAAGGUUAAAUGGUCGAGGUGCUUUUAGAAACAGCUGCUGGUUAGGGAAAAAGGCUUCUCUCCAAACUGUUUUGAAGCUUCAGAGAAUUUAUAGAACUAAGAGAACUUAGCUUUUACUAAAUUCCUUUAAUUUGAAAAGGCCUUUCCUUCUAAAAAUCUAUCUAUGUUAUGUAUGAAAUAUAUUGGCUUAAAUGUAAUUAUGCAAAGGAUUUAGAAAGUAAGAAAUGUUAGAUUCUUAUGUUAGAUUCCUAUUAUGGUGGGUGAGAAGGUGAACUCAAGAUCUCUUUAAGAUAAAAAAAAAUUUCCUGGAGGCGGCGCGAAACGGCAAUGGCGGUCCUCUUCGGUCUCUGAAGAGGGGCUCCGCAGAAAAGGGUCGUCCGCUGCGGCACAGCGGUGACCCAUUAAGAAAAACCACGGGCAGAGUGAGCCCGUGGCCGUGGGACUCGGCGGGCACCAGGAGCGACCCCAAAAACGAAGAAGGAACCCCGUAAGGGGCUCCGGAAACGUGGAAGGGGGAGCGGUGCUGUGAGUUCAUCGCUCUUUCUGCGGGAGCGAAGCCGCGCGGCUGCUGCUGAUGAGCGCCGACCUUUCUUCUUGGAACAUCAGGCUGUAAACUACCUACUCGUGAGUAAGGAUCAAUCAUUUUGGAACUAAAAGUGUUAAAUUUGGCUGAAAGCGGGAGACGAUAAACAGGAAGUCCGUCUUCCGGCAGUGCUUUAAAGAUCAAAGGCAAAGAUUUUAACAAGCGGGAAGCAGCUUUAAAAGAUUAUAAAUUUGGGACUAUCGUGUUGAUAGAAUUGGCUUUUAAAAAGAAGGAGAAAAGAUUUUUAUUUCUAAGUGUUUUGGACUUUAAAUGGGACUUUCCUCCCCUUUAUGGAUUAUAAAGAAUUAAGAACCAAACCUCGGACUGACAGGGAAAAAAGAGAGCUGUCAUUGCGGAAACUGUAUCCAAAAUAGAGACUGUUACAGUUGAGUGAUACUGGCAAGAUACAAUUAAAUAAACUGUUACUGGCACCUUUUAUCUGAGACUUUGUGGCAGCUUGGGAAGUGCUCUGUAAGCUAAAAAAGUUUAUGAAGGACUUUUGGUAAAUUAGACUGUUUUGGGGCUGCAGGGACUUUAAUGGCGGAUAAAGUUCUUUCCUUUCUAUGAACUACAGUAAUACUCCCCCUAGUGGAGUUCUGGAAUUACAAGUGCCUGGGAACAAAUUUUAUUUGGACUAUCUGCUGCUCUGUUAUUUACACUUUGGAACUGUCCUUCCCAUGGGACAAUAUACAGCUUGACCUUGACUCAUAGACAGGUGUGGAAUGAGUGGCCAACCGAAAACAAGAUCUGCUAAAACGAAAGCAAGACAAGCCCAACUUGUGCAAACAACUUUGACUACUCAGUCACGUAGAUCAUCUGUCCCAGCUGUUUUGGGAGUACAAGAAAAGGAAACUGCACAGCCUGCAUCAGAGGAUAUGGCAGAGGGAGGAUCAGAUACCUUCUUAAAACAAAUGCUAGAACAAUUUGCAAUAUUGAACAAGAAGGUGGAUGACCAAUCGGCAAAAAUAGAUCAAGCCACAUCCUCUAUUACUAAAUUGUCUGACCAAGUUGCACAACAUACACAAGUUAUUGGGAAUCUCAAGGAAGCAACUGUGGAAAAUCGGAGACUGGCUGAAGCAGCCAAUGAAAAAGCAGAACAAGCAAAUCAAAAAGUUGAGGCUAUAAAAGGGGAGGUAAGGCCACUACACAAGCACAUUAGUGAUCAGCAGGCUUACCUGUCUAUGGUGGAAUUGAGAAACCGGGAAAACAAUCUGAGAUUAAGAGCUAUCCCAGAGCUUGAACAGGAAGAUUUAAUUGGUUAUCUGACAGCAGAAUUUUCCAAGUUCUGGGGUAUAGAAGAGGACAAAGAUUUCAAGAUCACAACUGCGUUCAGAUUAGGAAGAGUCGUGAGGAGGGACAAGCCCAGAGACUGUUUGAUUAUUUUGAGAUCCAAGCAGGAGAGAGAUAAAAUACUAGGCCUCCACUUUAAGAAAUCACUUGAUAUCCAAGGCAAAAGAGCAGAAUUUUAUAGAGAUAUUCCUAAACAACUUUUGGAUCUCAGAGCCACAUAUACAGACCUAGCAAGACUACUGAGAGGAAACGCGAUUCCAUAUAGGUGGGAGUUUCCCAAGGUUUAUCUUUUAAUUUUAAAGGAAAGAAAAUUAAGAUUAAAACAUCAGAAGAUAACCAGAAGUUCCUGCACGACCACGGAGAAGACCUUCAGAAGGGAGCAGCAGCCUCUUGGCCACCGCCACUGCCUGGAAAAGCACCGAUACCUACACCCUCGGGGCCAGAAGAAAAGGAAGACACCCCACUAUAGGAACAACAGAUUGAUUCAGAAUGUCUCUGCAGCUGUACAGUUGGAAUAUAAAUGGCGGGAACUCCCGGAAAAAAGACGAAGGAUUUUUCAUAUUUUGAAAAAGAACAAUUGGAUAUUGUUUGCUUGCAGGAAACGCAUGUGACUAGGCUCCAUAGGAAAGUGUUAAUCAACAAAAGACUAGGCCAAGAAUUUAUUUCAUCAGACAAAGUCAAGAAAAGAGGCGUAGUGAUUUAUGCAAAGGAGAACCUGUCACCGAAAUUUCUGUUUAAAGAUGAGCAAGGAAGAAUUUUGGCAAUUGAGAUACAAACACAAGGAGAAAAGUUUUUGAUUUUAGGAAUAUAUGCACCAAAUGAGGGGAAAUCGGAAUUUUACAAGAAGCUGCAUGAGAUAAUGCUGGACUAUCUGGACUAUACCAACAUCAUAAUGAUGGGCGAUAUGAAUGGGGUGGUUUCUACUCACAUGGAUAAGUCACAAAAUCAAAAUUUAACUAAAGACGGCAGACUACCUAAAACCUUCUUUGAACUAACUGAUAACAUGGACUUGAUUGAUAUUUGGAGGACAAGGAACCCCUUAGGUAAAGAAGGAACAUUCUUUUCUGAGGCCCACCUAUCAUGGACAAGAAUCGACCAAAUAUGGACAACUAGAGGACUGGCACCUAAGAUCAGAAAAGUGGAAAUCUGUCCAAAGACUUGCUCCGACCAUAAUGCUUUGAAAGUGGAAUUGAGACUUACUCCAACCGGUUCUUUCAGAUGGAAAAUGAAUGACACCCUACUAAGAGAUCAGGAGAUUGUGAAGAAGGCCCACAAAACUUUAAAGGACUAUUUUGAAAUCAAUUUGAACACUUCGGGGGAAAAGAGAUCCAGGUGGGACGCCAGUAAAGCUGUAAUGAGGGGGUUUCUGAGGCAACAGAACACAAUCAAGAAAAACUUUGGAAUGGGAAAAAGAUAGGAUAUUAGAGAAGAUAAGAGAAGGAGAGAAAAAUUGAGAUUAAAACCAAAAUCAAAAGAGGUUUUAAGAGAAAUCAAAUUCCACCAAGCUCAAUAUGCGAAAUUGAUAAAUCAAGAAGUGGAAUGGAAAAUCAAACAAAUGAAACAAAGAUCAUUUGAAUCGGCAAAUAAAUGUGGAAAACUGCUAGCAUGGCAGUUGAAAAAGAGACAAAAAUUGAACUUUGUCACUAAUCUAGAGGUGGAAGGGAGAAACAUUCAGAAACCAGAAGAAAUUAGAAAGUGUUUCCAGAAAUAUUUCAAAAACUUUAUACACAAGGGCCUCAGGAAGUGUCUGAGAUAGAUCAAUUUUUAAAAGUUAACGGUCUAUCCAAACUAUCUCAGGAGAAGAGGACAAUCUUAAAUAAUAGAAUAACACGACAGGAAAUAGAGGGUGCCAUUCAGAAUAUGCAACUAGGCAAAUCUCCAGGCCCAGAUGGACUUACCUCCAAGUACUAUAAGACACUAAAAGACUAUUUGAUACAACCACUAAUGGAGGUCUGUAACCAGAUUAUGGAGGGGAGGAGGGCACCGGAAACGUGGAAAGAAGCUUUCAUCACAUUGAUUCCUAAAUUGGAAUCUGAAAAGACUCAGCUUAAGAACUACCGUCCCAUCUCACUCCUAAAUGUGGAUUACAAAAUUUUUGCUGAUAUUUUGGCGAGCAGACUUAAAAAAUACUUAACGAAGUAAUUCAUAAGGACCAGGCAGGCUGUCUCGCCGGGAGACAUCUUUUAGAUAAUACCAGGAACAUUAUUGAUAUUUUGGAACUUUUACAAACUAAUAUCAAUACGAAAGCUGUGUUAAUUUUCAUCGAUGCGGAGAAGGCCUUUGAUAAUAUUUCUUGGAUAUUUAUGAAGAGAAACCUGGAAGGGAUGGGAGUGGGACGGGGUUUGAAAAUGGAAUAGAAGCAAUUUAUUCUGAGCAAAAAGCUAAACUGAUAGUGAACAAUGUGGUGACAGAUGAGUUCAAAAUUGAAAAAGGGACACGACAAGGGUGCCCCCUAUCCCCUCUUUUAUUUAUUUCAGUCCUGGAGGUGUUACUGAACAUGAUUAGGAAGGACCGGUUGAUACAAGGAAUACAGGUCGGAGCGAAACAAUAUAAAUUGAAAGCUUUUGCAGAUGAUUUGGUUUUAACAUUACAGGAGCCAGAAUCUAGUACAAAAAGAGUAUUAGAAUUGAUUCAUGAGUUUGGUCGGGUGGCGGGAUUUAAGUUGAAUAAGCAAAAAACUAAGGUUUUGGGGAAAAACUUGACACCCUCAGAAAUAGAUGGGUUUCAGAAGGAAACAGAACUAAGUGUGGUAAAAAAAGUAAAAUACCUAGGGGUUCACUUGUCAGCGAAAAAUUUGAAUCUAUUUAAAGACAACUAUGAAAAAUGUUGGCUGGAAAUCAAAAAGGAUUUGGAAAUCUGGUCAAGAUUGAAACUUUCCUUGUUGGGUCGAAUUGCAGCUAUAAAAAUGAAUGUAUUGCCGAAAAUGUUAUUUUUGUUUCAAACCCUACAGAUUGUGGACAGAGUGGAAUGUUUUGGAAAGUGGCAGAAGGAUAUAUCCAAGUUUGUUUGGCAGGGCAAAAAGCCCCGGAUAAAGUUUAAAAUACUAACUGAUUUGAAAGAAAGAGGGGGGUUUGCCCUGCCGGACUUGAGAUUAUAUUAUGAAGCUGCGGCCUUCUGCUGGAUGAAAGAUUGGUUACUUCUUGAGAACACUGAUGUUCUAGAUCUGGAAGGGUUUGAUAAUGCUUUUGGUUGGCAUGCAUAUUUGUGGUACGACAAGGUAAAGGUUCAUAAAAUGUUCAAAAAUCAUAUUGUUAGAAAAUCAAUAUUUAUGGUCUGGACAAAAUACAAGGACUUAUUAGAGGGUAAGACUCCGAGGUGGCUUUCACCAGCAGAGGCCAAGGCCCGGAAAAACCUAAUAUGGAGGUUGGUUGGCUGAAAUAUGGGGAAAUUAUAGAAAAAGUAGGAGAAACUUGGAGGCUGCAGAGUUAUGAAAAAUUAAAGAAUAAGGUGCAAAAUUGGCUUCACUAUGCUCAAAUUCAAGAGGUUUUUAAGUUGGACAAAAGAACAGGUUUCCAGGUGGAAAAAUCGAAACUAGAGACAGAAUUGUUGGAACCAAAGACCAAGGUACUUUCGAGAAUGUAUAUCUUGCUGCUUAAAUGGAACACUCAGGAUGAGACAGUCAAAUCAGCCAUGAUAAAAUGGGCUCAGGACAUUGGGUACAACAUUAUGUUUGAAGACUGGGAAAGGUUAUGGACCACUGGUAUGAAAUUCACGGCAUGUAAUGCCUUGAAAGAGAAUAUUAUGAAAAUGAUAUACAGGUGGUACAUGACCCCAGUCAAGCUUGCUAAGAUAUAUCAUUUGUCUGAUAAUAAAUGUUGGAAAUGUAAGGAGGCUGAAGGGACAUUCUUUCACCUCUGGUGGACUUGCCCAAAAGUGAAGGCCUUCUGGGAAAUGAUCUAUAAUGAGUUAAAAAAGUGUUUAAGUACACUUUUCCCAAGAAACCAGAGGCCUUCCUACUGGGCAUUGUCGGUCAGAAGGUGUUAAAGAAGGAUAGAACCUUUUUAUGUAUGCAACUACAGCAGCAAGAAUUCUUAUCGCAAAAUACUGGAAGACUCAAGAUUUACCCACACUGGAAGAGUGGCAGACGCAAUUGAUGGGCUACAUGGAAUUGGCCGAGAUGACUGCCAGGAUCCGAGAUUUGGAGGAAGAAGCAAUGGAGGAGGAUUGGAAAAAAUUUAAAGAUUAUUUACAAAAAUUUUAUAAGUUAUAUGAAUGUUAAGAAUUCGCAUGAUUAGGGAAAUUCAGCUCCAGCAAUAAGAUUAAGGUAUGGGAAACUAAGCUAUAUUAAUGAAAGGACUAACGUUUAAAAGAACAUUAUAUAUAUUAUUAGUGUAAAUUGACAAUAAGCAUUUUAAACGUAAAUCACAAGUAUUUGAAAGAACAAAAGAAUGCACGAAAUAAGGUUAUAAUUUGCUGAAAAAUUUUAUUGUAAAGAACGCAAGGUGAGGGGGACGGGGGGAAGUCCGGUUGGUUAUGGAAAAAUGCUUUGAAAAGAUGAUUUUCUUCUUUUUCUUUCUCUUUUCUGUUAUUUCUUUGUAUAUCUGACCUUGUAUUUCUAUCUGGAAAAAUGC